rnacentral:lncRNA from 1 species
GGCUCAAGGCCACUUGCCCCAGGAAGAUAGCAGAAACAGGAAGAAAGCUGGCCGAGAGACACAUACCCGCUGAAGAUCGAAAAGGAAGCUGUCAAGGUACUACGUAGCAGUCACUUCAGACUCGGACACUUCCUGUUUACAGAGGACUAUAAAACCCCUGCCCCGUCCUCACUUGACGCUGACGCCAUUUUAGGCCUCAGCCCAUCUGCACCCAGGCGCUCGUUAAAACAGCCUGUAGCUCCACACCGCCUCCUGUUGUCUGUUGGCACGUUCUCGGGGUUCCAACCGAUACAAGAGCCUUGCAAAAGGUUGGGAUCAUGGUGCCAGAGGCAGGACCAAAAUGAGAUCCCCUCAGACAAAUUGGCAACCCCUGGAAUGGAGUGUGGUAUCAACUGAGCCCACUGUGUAUCUCCUCUUGGAUUCUAGGACUCUUACUUUGGUCUCACGCCACUUGAUUACUACCCUGAUUUCUCUAUCCAUAGCUACCAACCCUACUUUAAUAUGUGCAACUUUCUGAAAAUAAAAUUUUAAACAGGGGACUGAAGGAAACGAGACUAUUUCACUCAGAAAUUUGGUUAAAGAAAUAGUUGCAAGGUCUCUCUGGCCUCUCCCCUACCCUGCUGUUAUCUCUGAAUCACCUGUCUCUCUCGAGCACAGGAUUAAUCUGUUCUCUCAAGUUCCCUUACUUUCCUAGAAACCAGAUAUGCUAAAGAGAAACAGAGUUGCCUUCUCUGAAAUUUCAUUAACCAGAAAAGAUGAAAACUCAUAUUCCAGAGGAGGAGAUUGAAAACUAAACCCUACACCUAGAGCCCAGACUUUGUUCCAAAUCAAACUCUCUGUUCAAUUUAAUUUCCAAAGAAAUUAUUUAUUAACCAUUGUCUGAGCAUUAAAUCUAUUCAUUUUCCCCAUAAAAAGCAUUUACUAUCCCUCAGACGGCCCCAUUUCUCCUAACUCUUCUUCCCCUAUGAAGAAGGCGUUAUACACAUCUGUACCACAUUGAGUUACUGGGUAAUCACUGUUUAUGUUUUGAGGGGGACCUUUACAGAAAAUCCUUGUAAAAAAAAUCAAGUAUACAUUACUGCCUUUUUCCAUGAG